CGCGGGGUAGAGCUGCUGGGUAGCUCGCAAGGCUAAUAACCUUGAUGUCACAGGUUCAAGCCCUGUCCCCGC
rnacentral:tRNA from 1 species